rnacentral:rRNA from 1 species
GACGAACGCUGGCGGCGUGCUUAACACAUGCAAGUCGAACGGAAAGGCCCUGCUUUUGUGGGGUGCUCGAGUGGCGAACGGGUGAGUAACACGUGAGUAACCUGCCCUUGACUUUGGGAUAACUUCAGGAAACUGGGGCUAAUACCGGAUAGGAGCUCCUGCUGCAUGGUGGGGGUUGGAAAGUUUCGGCGGUUGGGAUGGACUCGCGGCUUAUCAGCUUGUUGGUGGGGUAGUGGCUUACCAAGGCUUUGACGGGUAGCCGGCCUGAGAGGGUGACCGGCCACAUUGGGACUGAGAUACGGCCCAGACUCCUACGGGAGGCAGCAGUGGGGAAUAUUGCACAAUGGGCGGAAGUCUGAUGCAGCAACGCCGCGUGCGGGAUGACGGCCUUCGGGUUGUAAACCGCUUUCGCCUGUGACGAAGCGUGAGUGACGGUAAUGGGUAAAGAAGCACCGGCUAACUACGUG